AUCCAAGAUGGCGGCACGUCAGCGGCUGACAUACUAUCAUUUUUCCUCAAAUGCUCCAUGCAGUGUACUCAUCUGACGGGGGCGAUGUUGUACCACUGGAUUACUGUCCUGCAAGCGCUUACAUGAUUUGUGCCUCUUAAGAAUUGGAUUAAAGUGUUGGAGCCAGUGUUGCUGAUUGGAAGUACUGCACUGCACAAACAUAAGUAGACUCGCUAUGGAAGUGCUAAAACUACUGGUACAACAAAGAUGACGAGAAAAAGACCCUGUCGGAGGGGAGCCACGUAAAUAAUACGGCGAACCAAACGGCGCAUCCUGAGGAGACGGUCAGAAAGCAACUUGAAGAUGGUGUGUAAAAUAUAAUCUAUGCAAUAUAUUGACCAAAGAACCACAAUUACAUGUUAUGUAUAUCACAAGGAAGUGUUUUAAAUGUUGACAAAAAAAUCACAUGAUCCAUUUUAAUAGUCCGUAUAAUCCAGUGCGCCUUAUGGUCCGAAAGAUAUGGUAGUCAACUAGUCAAAUGAUCGUUUAUACAUGUUUGAGUCCACAACAUGAUUUUGACUCAUUUUAAAAAGCUAUCAUUACGGUCUGGCUUGGGUGUUGUUGAUAUAGAUCCCCGGAAGUCCAGGGAAAAUGAAUUUAUUCACAAAAAUAAAUAGUGCAACAGGGAAGUGCACAUGAAGCGUGGGGAAAGCUUUACAGUAUGGAAGCAAACAAAGUAAACCAGCAUUAAAAGCAUCCUGUUUGGCAACCGGGGACAGGUGUGUCCUGAUUUCCAAUCAGGCACAGGUGAGAAAGCCAGCGCUCAGACAAAAAAAGUGGUGGAGGCAAACAGGAAGUGGAAACAAAAUUAAAAGCUCUGGACAGGAAAUAAAUAAAGAAACUAAAUAAAAUAAUCAUAAAGGCCAAACUGUGAUAGCUAUUAUAAAUUGUAACAGUAGAAACAUUAAUUACUUAGGACAUAUUGUUUUAGUUUAGUACAAAAAGUAAAAUCUAAAUAAAGACUUAAAGUGCAAAAUGUCCUGUAACCAUGACAUUAAUUGCAAAAGAAAUGUAAAUGUCCAUCUAUCCAUCCAUUCAUUUACUACCGCUUGUCAUGGGGGCAAGGGCACUGGAGCCUAUUCCAGCUGCACUCGGGCGGAAGGCAGGGUACACCCUGGACAAAUUGCCACCUCAACGCAGGGCGAAAUGUAAAUAUAAAGACUUUUAUUCACCUCUCAAUGGGAAAAUUCCAAGGUUGGGGUGCAGAUUUGCUGACAAAAAAUUAUUAGAAGAAUAACUAAUAUUGCACACAUGCUUUCAUGAUCCCACCUGACAGUUUUGGACAUUAUUUUUAGCUUCCUGUCUUUUGUAUUGUUUCCUGACCAGUGCUUGUAUUUUUUGUUCUGCUUCCUGUCUGCCUUUGUUUUCUAGACACUUUACUUCUGGCUUGAGCACCUGUCCCCAGUUAGUAAUCAGGAUACGCACCUGCUGGCAGUCCCUAAUCGGGAAUCGUCUUAUCUGUGCAUUUCCCUGCUGCACUAGCUACUUGUGUGUUAAAUAAAUACACUUUUACUUUCAAGGUGUCCCCGCAUCUUGGGGUCACAACUACUGCAACAAUGUGUAUUUGUGACAAUUGGUACACUAAGAGCCUGAUCUACUAAAGGUUUGCGUGUACUAAAACACAUAGUAACUUAAUAGCCCACGCAAAGCUGAUCCUCUAAACUGGUGCGCAGAAGAUUGUGUCUCUUAAAUGAGCAAAAUAAACAACGCAGUCCAUUUAGCGUGUCUGUCUUCAUGAAUGCAGAAUAUAUGCUGAUCACCAGAACUCCCACAAUACUUAGAGGAGUCGGAGAUGCAAAUAUAAUCAUUCAGUACAUGCAAUAUGAUUCAUCAAGACUAAAACUGUGUUGCUGGCACUAUUUUUCGUCUAUAUUUAGCAUGUAUGAAAUGUAUGGGCAAACUGGCACAGUUACACAAAUGGCUGUGAGAAAAAAGAUGAACGAUGAGAGAAUCCUUCAUCCUACGUGUGUGUCAUCCUAUUUGGACUGCCAUAAAUAACAAAUAAUCACAACACACAUCCCAAAUGACAACAAGAGAGUCGGAGAAAAGAAGAGGGAAUAUUCAAGCGGGCGAUUUAUAUAUUUUAAAAAAAACCUAGUGGAAGAUGGCAGAAGGAUUGUCUUCCUUCGAUUUUUCUUUUAGCGAUGUAGACGACGUCCACUUGGCCACAUUUGGACAAAUGUAUGCGCCUGGAUAAAACAUUAAUUUUAGUUGUUUACCAGGUAAGCCCAAAUCAAAACUGCUCGCGACAAGGAAGAAGUGGAAUACACAUUUAAGAACACACAUGAUUGUGACAUGUGAUGACUUUUGCUACAGUAUAACAUGUCUAAAUGCUACAUUUGAUUUUCAUUGGUGUUUUAGAACAAGACAGUAGCUGACAUUUUGUUCAUUAUUUCUACUGUUUAUAUUUUGACAUUGAAUAGUUAAUUGAAUCAUUUUGAAACAUAAACAAUAUUACUGCAAGAUAUUUGUUGUUUCAUGCUAUAAAUCACAAAUGACUAAUCAGAUAAAGGAAGUUGGCUAAUAGAAUAAACAUUGUUUGUACUCUUUAUGAUUUUUGCAUUUGGAGCGGUUAGAAGUGGAGAGGGAGUCAAAGAGACAUAAAUUGGCUAUAAAAUCUAAGACAGAAUCCACUAAAGCAGAAACAAAAAGGAAAAUGCAAGCUGCUCAGAAAUUUGCCAGGAAGGCUCAUGUCAGAGCCUUCAAAGCAAAAAUGCCAAAGUAAUGUGUGAAUGAACCAAAGUAAUGUGUCCAUCCAUCCAUCCAUUUUCUACCGCUUGUCCCUUACGGGGUCGCGGGGGGUGCUGGAGCCUAUCUCAGCUGCAUUCGGGCGGAAGGCGGGGUACACCCUGGACAAGUCGCCACCUCAUCGCAGGGCCAACACAGAUAGACAAACAAUAUUCACACUCACAUUCACACACCAGGGCCAAUUUAGUGUAAAUAAUGUAAAUAACUAGAUGACCCAUCUGUGGCUGUGAAGUGAACACUAGUAAGGUUGUAAAUAGUGUGAAUAGAGUAGGCUAACCCAUGUGGUUCCUGUGGAUGUGAACACAAGUUGUAAUUACUGUAGUGUGUAAAUAACAUAGUGACUGAAACAGACAUAGUCAUUCAUUUGGAUGAAUGGGGUAUGUAGUUAUGUCUUAGACUUAAACUUCCUUUUUUAUUGUCAUUCAAAUUUGAACUUUACAGUACAGAUAAGAACGAAAUGUCGUUGCAUUAGCUCAUGGUAGUGCAGGAUAUCAACUCUGUUGAUCAUUUUUCAAUUCUUUAAACACUAAAACAUCUUUAAAUUGUGUUUUUUUUUUGGCUAAUUUUACAUGUUAAAUUGCUGAAAAACCAGGAGCUUCGGUUUCUGCCUUGUCCCCGCACCAGGGCACCUCCCUGGGCCUGCGGCCCCCAGACCUCCGGCUUAUUUUCAGUCUUUUUCUUUAAAUUCAAAUCACAUGCCUGGUUUAAGUAACGUAGCAUGUUAGACACUACUUAAGUAUGUGUCUUAAGUGCUUUAAUUAUUUAAUUUUUUAUCUUUGAAUUGGGACAUAGGUUCUGUGCAGAGUUCUUCGCUCUAGGUUUUGGAUGUUAUUCCACUGUGCAUUUGCACCUAAUGUUGUGUCCGUAGAGUGUAUAGGUAGGCUUACUCAGCCUUGAAGUGGUCACACAAUAAUCAAAUGAAAAUGUUCUCCUGGCAGUCAUUCGUUCAUGCGGGUUGCCAUGGUGACAUCCAUCAAUUAAACCUGGAGGAAUGCAUUGCUUGGCGUGAGCAGUAAACAAUUUCUUAUGCUUCAAUGAUGACCUCUGAAAGUGCAGCCGAAGUCCCAAGGCAUUCUCUGUUUGGCAUAGUCAGUUAUUUGGUUGGAUUACAACACACAGGAGUGAACCUAAUGCAGACACAGCAACAGUUUUUAUUGAGUUCAUGAUGAUACGCAGGAGCCUAUUGUCACUUUUGUUGGAUUUAAAAGUGUGUGUUGCUAAUCACUUCCAUCAAGGUACAUCCACUCCUCCACCAAGACAUGAUCUGUAAGAAAUACAAGGAAGCUGCCACUCCACAUGAUUACCCUCAUCCGUCAUUCUCAAUUCGGUGUCAAACAGAUUUAGUCACUAAUUUAUCACUAAAUAGGAUUUAAUCUGACCAAUAUGAAUUUUUCCCGCAUAGAAAUCAAUCAUUUCGUGCAGAUUUGGGUGAAUGCACCCUGACAACUGCAGCAAUGCUAAUGGUUUUGUGGAUGUUUCUGGACACACUCUCAGUCAAGGAAGUUCAUUUCACUAUGUAAAGCGCUUUGAGUCACUAGAGAAAAGCGCUAUAUAAAUAUAAUUCAGUUCAUUUAGGAAAGAGGCAUUAGAGGUGUUGUGUCACAUGAGCGAUCGAGAGCAUCCAGGAAGAGAAUCGAUUAGAUACGGCCUGAGCACAGCAGCUAAGUGAUCACUUUGUAAUGAAGUGUCUGCGUGUUUUUUUUAAAUAUAGAAUUGUUGGACUUUGUCCUCUCGCUAGCAUUGACAUAAUUUUGGAAUGGACUUAAAAUAUCUGAAAUGUGUAAUAUCACUUUCUCUCAUAUUGUGCUGUUUGUUUACACUACACUUUUGCCCUGGUGCAGGGGUGUCCAAAGUGCAGCUUGGGGACCAUUU